UUUGCUAAAGCCAAAUUUAGAGGCCUUCCUUUGUUAAAGGAAGAAGUGGUUAAAACCUAGUAUUC
rnacentral:tRNA from 1 species